rnacentral:tRNA from 1 species
GUUCAAAUAUUCAACUAUGAUUUCAAAUUGCAAGUUUGAAGGUGAGUAAAAUGCUUUUUGGACU